UACGAAGGGGGCGAGCGUUGUUCGGAUUUACUGGGCGUAAAGGGCGCGUAGGCGGCGGGUUAAGUCGAGUGUGAAAGCCCCGGGCUCAACCUGGGAAUUGCGCUCGAGACUGGUCUGCUUGAGUUCGGGAGAGGAGCGUGGAAUUCCCAGUGUAGAGGUGAAAUUCGUAGAUAUUGGGAAGAACACCGGUGGCGAAGGCGGCGCUCUGGACCGAGACUGACGCUGAGGCGCGAAAGCGUGGGGAGCAAACAGG
rnacentral:rRNA from 1 species